GACGAACGCUGGCGGCGUGCUUAACACAUGCAAGUCGAACGGAAAGGCCUCUUUCGGGGGGUACUCGAGUGGCGAACGGGUGAGUAACACGUGAGUAACCUGACCUUGACUUUGGGAUAACUUCAGGUAACUGGGGUUACUACCGGAUAGGAGCUCCUGCUGCAUGGUGGGGGUUGGAAAGUUUCGGCGGUUGGGGUUGGAGUCGCGGCUUAUCAGCUUGUUGGUGGGGUAGUGGCUUACCAAGGCUUUGACGGGGAGCCGGCCUGAGAGGGUGACCGGGCACAUUGAGACUGAGAUACGGCCCAGACUCCUACGGGAGGCAGCAGUGGGGAAUGUUGCACAAUGGGUGGGAGCCUGAUGCAGCAACGCCGUGUGCGGGAGGACGGCCUUCGGGUUGUAAACCGCUUUCGCUCAUGACGGAGCUUUGUGUGACGGUAGUGGGUAAAGAAGCACCGGCUAACUACGUG
rnacentral:rRNA from 1 species